CUGGUUGAUUCUGCCAGUAGUCAUAUGCUUGUCUCAAAGAUUAAGCCAUGCAUGUCUAAGUAUAAGCAAUUAUACGGCGAAACUGCGAAUGGCUCAUUAAAUCAGUUAUCGUUUAUUUGAUAGCACCUUACUACUUGGAUAACCGUGGUAAUUCUAGAGCUAAUACAUGCUAAAAAUCCCGACUUACGGAGGGAUGUAUUUAUUAGAUUAAAAACCAAUGCCCCUCGGGGCUUUCUGGUGAUUCAUAAUAACUUCUCGAAUCGCAUGGCCUUGCGCCGGCGAUGGUUCAUUCAAAUUUCUGCCCUAUCAACUUUCGAUGGCAGGGUCUUGGCCUGCCAUGGUUAUAACGGGUAACGGAGGGUUAGGGCUCGACCCCGGAGAAGGAGCCUGAGAAACGGCUACUACAUCCAAGGAAGGCAGCAGGCGCGCAAAUUACCCAAUCCCGACACGGGGAGGUAGUGACGAUAAAUACUGAUACAGGGCUCUUUUGGGUCUUGUAAUUGGAAUGAGUACAAUUUAAAUCCCUUAACGAGGAACAAUUGGAGGGCAAGUCUGGUGCCAGCAGCCGCGGUAAUUCCAGCUCCAAUAGCGUAUAUUAAAGUUGUUGCAGUUAAAAAGCUCGUAGUUGAACCUUGGGCCUGGCUGGCCGGUCCGCCUCACCGCGUGCACUGGUUCGGCCGGGCCUUUCCCUCUGGGGAGCCCUAUGCCCUUCACUGGGUGUAGCGGGGAACCAGGACUUUUACUGUGAAAAAUUAGAGUGUUCAAAGCAGGCCUAUGCUCGAAUACAUCAGCAUGGAAUAAUAGAAUAGGACGUGUGGUUCUAUUUUGUUGGUUUCUAGGACCGCCGUAAUGAUUAAUAGGGACAGUCGGGGGCAUCAGUAUUCAAUUGUCAGAGGUGAAAUUCUUGGAUUUAUUGAAGACUAACUACUGCGAAAGCAUUUGCCAAGGAUGUUUUCAUUAAUCAGGAACGAAAGUUAGGGGAUCGAAGACGAUCAGAUACCGUCGUAGUCUUAACCAUAAACUAUGCCGACUAGGGAUCGGACGAUGUUAUUUUUUGACUCGUUCGGCACCUUACGAGAAAUCAAAGUUUUUGGGUUCUGGGGGGAGUAUGGUCGCAAGGCUGAAACUUAAAGAAAUUGACGGAAGGGCACCACCAGGAGUAAACCGCAGUUAACUCUGCUCCUAAAAGCUGGUCUGAAAGGAUUAGGUGGUUGCUAACAAUACAGCUAGUCAGCAUGUGCUGGCGACACCCUCAAAUUGCGGGGAACUCCUAAAGCAUCAACUACCGCGGCCUAUCGAAAGAUGAGGUGCAGCACCAGGUUAAUGACCUCGGGUAUGGUAAAAACGUUGGUGAUAUUACAAUGGACAAUCCGCAGCCAAGCACCUUAAAUGGUGAAGGUUCAGAGACUUGACGGGGGUGGGUACCGAAUUGGCAAUAUUGUUUGGUGCUUAAGAUAAAGUCCAUAACUAUGCUGAAAAGCCUGUGAAUGACUUGUGCAAUGUAUAUGACAUUGUAUAUUAGGUCCCUAUAAUGGGAGCCUGCGGCUUAAUUUGACUCAACACGGGGAAACUCACCAGGUUAACUGA
rnacentral:rRNA from 1 species